rnacentral:rRNA from 1 species
UACGUAGGGGGGCAAGCGUUGUCCGGAAUUAUUGGGCGUAAAGAGCUCGUAGGCGGCUUGUCACGUCGGGUGUGAAAGACCGGGGCUUAACCCCGGUUCUGCAUUCGAUACGGGCUGGCUAGAGUGUGGUAGGGGAGAUCGAAUUCCUGGUGUAGCGGUGAAAUGCGCAGAUAUCAGGAGGAACACCGGUGGCGAAGGCGGAUCUCUGGGCCAUUACUGACGCUGAGGAGCGAAAGCGUGGGGAGCGAACAGG